GGUGAAAAGCACCCCGGAAGGGGAGUGAAAUAGAACCUGAAACCGUGUGCUUACAAGUAGUCAGAGCCCGUUAAUGGGUGAUGGCGUGCCUUUUGUAGAAUGAACCGGCGAGUUACGAUUUGAUGCAAGGUUAAGCAGUAAAUGUGGAGCCGUAGCGAAAGCGAGUCUGAAUAGGGCGUUUAGUAUUUGGUCGUAGACCCGAAACCAGGUGAUCUACCCUUGGUCAGGUUGAAGUUCAGGUAACACUGAAUGGAGGACCGAACCGACUUACGUUGAAAAGUGAGCGGAUGAACUGAGGGUAGCGGAGAAAUUCCAAUCGAACCUGGAGAUAGCUGGUUCUCUCCGAAAUAGCUUUAGGGCUAGCCUCAAGUGAUGAUUAUUGGAGGUAGAGCACUGUUUGGACGAGGGGCCCCUCUCGGGUUACCGAAUUCAGACAAACUCCGAAUGCCAAUUAAUUUAACUUGGGAGUCAGAACAUGGGUGAUAAGGUCCGUGUUCGAAAGGGAAACAGCCCAGACCACCAGCUAAGGUCCCAAAAUAUAUGUUAAGUGGAAAAGGAUGUGGCGUUGCCCAGACAACUAGGAUGUUGGCUUAGAAGCAGCCAUCAUUUAAAGAGUGCGUAAUAGCUCACUAGUCGAGUGACACUGCGCCGAAAAUGUACCGGGGCUAAACAUAUUACCGAAGCUGUGGAUUGUCCUUUGGACAAUGGUAGGAGAGCGUUCUAAGGGCGUUGAAGCAUGAUCGUAAGGAC
rnacentral:rRNA from 1 species